AAUAAAGUGCCUGACCAAAAGGGUUGUCUUGAUAGGACAAAUAAUGUGAUUUCACCUUUAUUA
rnacentral:tRNA from 1 species